UGGGAAUCCUCAACCGCUGCUAGGGACGAGACACCAGCACAACGGGACUGAUGUGGCAGAGGUGUCACUUAUUUGCAGAGGUGUCACUUAUGGGCCCUGGCUGUCACUUAUGGGUCAAGGUUUGCACUUAUGGGGCAGGAAGGGGUCACUUAUGGGGCACGGUUGUCACUUAUGGGGCAGGGCUGUCACUUAUGGGGUCAGAGGUGUUAAUUAUGGGGCAGGGCUGUCACUUAUGGGUCAGGGCUGUCACUUAUGGGGCAGGAAGGGGGCACUUAUGGGGCAGGGCUGUCACUUAUGGGGCAGGGCUGUCACUUAAGGGGCAGGGCUGUCACUUAUGGGGCAGGGCUGUCACUUAUGGGGCCUGGCUGUCACUUAUGGGGCAGGAAGGGGGCACUUAUGGGGGAGGGCACUUAUGGGGCAGAGGUGUCACUUAUGGGGCCUGGCUGUCACUUAUGGGUCAGGGAUGUCACUUAUGGGUCAGGGUUUCACUUAUGGGGCAGGGCUGUCACUUAUGGGGUAGGAAGGGUGCACUUAUGGGGUGGGGGGGGCACUUAUGGGUCCGGGCUGUCACUUAUGGGGCAUGGUUGUCACUUAUGGGGCAGAAAGGGGGCACUUAUGGAGUGGGGAGGGCUCUUAUGGGGCAGAGGUGUUACUUAUGGGGCCUG
rnacentral:lncRNA from 1 species